rnacentral:rRNA from 1 species
AGGUCUAACCUGCCCAAUGANGAAUUAAAUGGCCGCAGUAUUUUGACUGUGCAAAGGUAGCAUAAUUAUUAGUUUUUUAAUUGAAAGCUUGUAUGAAGGGUUGGACGAGAUAAAAUCUGUCUUUAUUUAAAUUACAAUAGAAUUUAACUUUUAAGUCAAAAGGCUUAAAUGUAUAUAAAAGACGAGAAGACCCUAUAGAUCUUUAUUUAAUUAAUAUUUUGAUAAUUUAAGAUUAUUUUAGUUUAAAGUUUUAAUUAAAUUUUAUUGGGGUAAUAUAGAGAUUAAAUAAAUUCUUUUUAUUUAUUACAUUGAUUUAUGAAUAUAUGAUCCAAUAUUAUUGAUUAUAAGAUUAAGUUACCUUAGGGAUAACAGCGUAAUUUUUUUGGAGAGCUCAUAUCGAUAAAAAAGUUUGCGACCUCGAUGUUGGAUUAAAAAUUAGCUUGGGUGCAGAAGCUCAAGAUUUUGGUCUGUUCGACCAUUAAAUUUUUACAUGAUCUGAGUUCAGACCGGCGUAAGCCAGGUCGGUUUCUAUCUUUAUUUAUCUAAAAUAUUUUAGUACGAAAGGACCAAAUAUUNAAUAUAAUUAUAUUUCUUUUUUGAAUAAUAUN